CGGGAGCCGAGUGAAAAAUCCCGUCGCUGAUGGAGCUCUUUUCUUUAGUUCUUUAUUAUUAUUCAUUUUUAAUCCGUGUCGUUAUUCUACAAUGAAGCUCAAAGGAAAAAGUAGUUAAUAACGAAUCCCUGCUCUUCCUGCUUGUUUAUGUAAACCCUUAUUUAUUGUUUGACGCGGUGAAGAUUAUUUGGAAGUCAAGCUGGUGAAGCUAAGCUAACUGUUAGCAUGCUAGAUCAGACGUUAAUGCUAAAGAGUAAACACGGGAAGCGCUUUUGGAUCCAAAUGUUCUUUAAAAAAGGGAUAAAAAAUCAGUUCUUAAAAUAUUCUUAUUUGUGUCAGAUCACUACAUUAUGUUCUCAUGCUCCAUCAAGUCUAAUCAAAACUACUUUAAAAGGAUCCUUUUGAAUAUAAAAUCAGAACAAUAUGGCUGACAAAAAUCAUAAAUGGUUUUAUUGAAGAUAAUUAUUACAUAUUUAUACACGAAUACAGCUUUUGUAUUUGAAAGUGGUUAUAUAAAUGUGAAAAAGAAGAAUAGCAGAUAAAUAUAAAUGUUUAUUUUUUAAAUACUAUUUAUUUAAUAUUCUGUACUUGUUACUUACUUUAAAUUUAUUGUGUGCUGCACGGGGCUUAGUGGAUAUUUAUAGUGGUUAUUAUGUUCGCCUCACACCUCCAGGGUCCGGGGUUUGAUUACCACCGUGGCCCUGUGUGUGUGUGUGUGUGUGUGUGUGUGUGUGUGUGUGCGGAGUUUACAUGUUCUCCAGGUGCUGCGGGGGUUUCCUCCGGGUACUCCGGUUUCCUCUCCAGUCCAAAGACAUGCAUGCGUGUGCGUUCAGGAAAAUGGCCGAGGCCAGUAUUUCAGAUGAUCAGAUUUCAGUGAUCAGUUCAGCUGCUUCUCCUGCUCACUGUUACGCUGGACCUGGAGAUGUGGAGUGUGAUUUCUGCACCGGGAGAAAACACAAAGCCGUCAAGUCCUGUCUGAUGUGUCUGGCCUCAUUUUGUGAAACUCAUUUAAAACCUCAUCUUGAAAUUCCUGCUUUGAAAAAGCACAAGUUAGUCGAAGCUUCUGGAAAUCUACAAGAGAAGAUCUGCUCUGAGCAUGAUAAAGUGCUGGAGGUCUACUGUCGUACUGACCAAAGCUUCAUCUGUUAUCUGUGUAUGAUGGAUGAACACAAAAGCCACGACACUGUCUCUCUCUGCUCUGAAAAAGAGACUUGAAGAAUUCUGCCAGGAGGAAUUCAGCAAAAUCCCUAAACAUGGAGAGAGUAAGAGCAGGGUUCUUCUUUUUUCUUCACCUUCUUCUUUCACUUUCUGUCACAAUAACAUUGUGACUGAUCUCGGAGUUCUCUCAUCCACCAGAGUAUGUGGAUCACAGUGCAGGAACUCUGUCCUUCUACAGCGUCUCUGACAUGAUGAAGCUCCUCCACAGAGUCCGCACUACAUUCACGAAGCCUAUAUACGCCGGGUUCUGGCUCUACUGGUGUGAUGAAACUGUGAGGUUGUGUAAUCCAGAAUGAAGUGUGUCGUGUUUAAUGUAAAAUUCCUGAACGUUGCUCAGUCAUCAGUCUAACCUGCACAGAAACAGCCAUUUUAAUGUAUUAAUUAAAAUAGAGGAGUAACUUUAUAAUUAUUAAAAAAGAUGUUCAAAAUGAACUCUCAGAUAAGAAACUAGUAGAAUUGAAAAAGAAUAUACUGAUACUAUGAGAUUUUAGUAUCUGCUGUGCUUUGUUCUUGUCCUAUAGUCUGUAUGUGUCUUGCUUCGUAUCCAUAGUUCCUGUUGACGGUUCUUGUUGUCAUGGUUUUGUUUGUUUUGUUUUUGUUUUCCACAAUAAAUGACCCACUCUUGCAUCCGCCUCCACUGCCAAAUCCUGACACUGUCAACUUACAAAUUCUGGAUUAAAAAAUAGAAUUAGGACCAAUUCAUUCUGGGCAGAUUUCUCUUUCUCAUCUCUUUUUGCUGGAGUAGCUUACACACACACACAUGAUCACCUCCAUUUCCUCCAGGUAACACUCACUGUCUGAUCUACAGAGCCAGAUGUUCCUCAUACAACUCUUCCUGAAAGAGCAUCGGUUCUCAAACAUGGGGUCUCCUGAGUUGGAUGAUGUUGCAGCACUUUGCUCAAAAGGAAUGAUGAAGGAGUCCCAGUCAUCUUGACCAUCAUACGUGUUAAGUUUAGCUUUAGGUCCAUCUGGAGCUCUACCACGAGGAGCUGUGAGGUGAUUGGUGGAUGCUGAAGUAGUUCAAGGUGCGUGUGCGCUCAAACCCAAGUUGAAAGAGCCAUUAUAAUGGCUGGGUUUCUGCACAUGGCUUUUUGGGUCUCACAUCUGGGCCAGGUGUGGAGGAAGUUGGACUAGCAGGGCUCUGUACGCAUCUAUCAAUGACCGCAAGUUCAGCCGCGAAAAGCCGGUCAGCCUCUGAAGGUCCUGUAGCAUCACCAUCUGUCAUGUGGGUUCCAUCAGGGACAGCUGAAAGUGUGGUAGUGUCUCCAUGUGGACGUGGAUCACGUGUCACUGUGCUGGCAAGGGGCUGCCGUGUACGAGCAAGCAAACUAGCCUCUGUUGCUUCCAAUCUUUGGAGUAGAGGUGAAAUGUCAUGUCGGAGCUGUUUAUUUUGCUAUGACAGCACAGCCAGUGUCCAGUGUGGAGGUCUGGAGCAGCUGAUGCUCCAACUUCACCUUCUUCCUCAGUCAUAUCUAAGCUGUAUUAAAAUCACGCUUGAAAACA